rnacentral:rRNA from 1 species
CAGCCGCCGCGGGAACACGUAGGGUGCGAGCGUUAAUCGGAAUUACUGGGCGUAAAGCGUGCGCAGGCGGUUGUGUAAGACAGGUGUGAAAUCCCCGGGCUUAACCUGGGAACUGCGCUUGUGACUGCACAGCUAGAGUAUGGCAGAGGGGGGUGGAAUUCCACGUGUAGCAGUGAAAUGCGUAGAGAUGUGGAGGAACACCGAUGGCGAAGGCAGCCCCCUGGGCCAAUACUGACGCUCAUGCACGAAAGCGUGGGGAGCAAACAGGAUUAGAUACCCCUGUAGUCCCUGUCUCUUAUAC